AUUGAACGCUGGCGGCAUGCUUUACACAUGCAAGUCGAACGGUAACAGGCCUUCGGGUGCUGACGAGUGGCGCACGGGUGAGUAAUGCAUCGGAACGUGCCCAGAGGUGGGGGAUAACGCAGCGAAAGCUGUGCUAAUACCGCAUGUGAUCUGAGGAUGAAAGCGGGGGACCAGGCAGCACUGUUUGGCCUCGCGCCUUUGGAGCUGCCGAUGUCAGAUUAGGUAGUUGGUGGGGUAAAGGCCUACCAAGCCGACGAUCUGUAGCUGGUCUGAGAGGACGACCAGCCACACUGGGACUGAGACACGGCCCAGACUCCUACGGGAGGCAGCAGUGGGGAAUUUUGGACAAUGGGCGCAAGCCUGAUCCAGCAAUGCCGCGUGCGGGAAGAAGGCCUUCGGGUUGUAAACCGCUUUUGUACGGAACGAAAAGGAUCUGGCUAAUACCUGGGGCUGAUGACGGUACCGUAAGAAUAAGCACCGGCUAACUACGUG
rnacentral:rRNA from 1 species